rnacentral:rRNA from 1 species
UUUGAUCCUGGCUCAGGAUGAACGCUAGCGGCAGGCUUAACACAUGCAAGUCGAGGGGUAACAUUGUGCUUGCACAGAUGACGACCGGCGAACGGGUGCGUAACACGUAUAGAAUCUGCCUUGUACAGGAGGAUAGCCUUUAGAAAUGAAGAUUAAUACUCCAUAAUGUUUGGAAGUGGCAUCACUAUCAAAUUAAACAUUUAUGGGUACAAGAUGACUAUGCGUCCUAUUAGCUAGAUGGUAAGGUAACGGCUUACCAUGGCAACGAUAGGUAGGGGGUCUGAGAGGAUUAUCCCCCACACUGGUACUGAGACACGGACCAGACUCCUACGGGAGGCAGCAGUGAGGAAUAUUGGUCAAUGGAGGCAACUCUGAACCAGCUAUGCCGCGUGCAGGAUGACUGCCCUAUGGGUUGUAAACUGCUUUUAUACAGGAAGAAACAGACGUACGUGUACGUCCUUGACGGUACUGUAAGAAUAAGGACCGGCUAACUCCGUGCCAGCAGCCGCGGUAAUAAGGG